rnacentral:rRNA from 1 species
CUCGUUUGCCUACCGAAACUUUGCAGCAGCGACACUAAACAAUUCGCUCCAGUCGGCCCCAUUAUGGGGUCCGGCGACGCCAUCAAUUUUGCGCUGGGAGCUCCCUUCGAGGGACGCGACCAGCAGCUCGUAGAAGAGUUCACAGAUCAAACAAUGGCGGCCACUUUCGUGGUUCAGAUAUGACCGGCCCCAGCCUAUAUGGCUGGCGAUUUUUGCGGAACCUGCGGAAGGAUCAUU